UAACCGGCGAUUUCCGAAUGGGGAAACCCAGUGUGAUUCGUCACACUAUCAUUAACUGAAUCCAUAGGUUAAUGAGGCGAACCGGGGGAACUGAAACAUCUAAGUACCCCGAGGAAAAGAAAUCAACCGAGAUUCCCCCAGUAGCGGCGAGCGGACGGGGAGCAGCCCAGAGCCUGAAUCAGUGUGUGUGUUAGUGGAAGCGUCUGGAAAGGCGUGCGAUACAGGGUGACAGCCCCGUACACAAAAAUGCACAUAUUGUGAGCUUGAUGAGUAGGGCGGGACACGUGGUAUCCUGUCUGAAUAUGGGGGGACCAUCCUCCAAGGCUAAAUACUCCUGACUGACCGAUAGUGAACCAGUACCGUGAGGGAAAGGCGAAAAGAACCCCGGCGAGGGGAGUGAAAAAGAACCUGAAACCGUGUACGUACAAGCAGUGGGAGCACGCUUAGGCGUGUGACUGCGUACCUUUUGUAUAAUGGGUCAGCGACUUAUAUUCUGUAGCAAGGUUAACCGAAUAGGGGAGCCGAAGGGAAACCGAGUCUUAACUGGGCGUUAAGUUGCAGGGUAUAGACCCGAAACCCGGUGAUCUAGCCAUGGGCAGGUUGAAGGUUGGGUAACACUAACUGGAGGACCGAACCGACUAAUGUUGAAAAAUUAGCGGAUGACUUGUGGCUGGGGGUGAAAGGCCAAUCAAACCGGGAGAUAGCUGGUUCUCCCCGAAAGCUAUUUAGGUAGCGCCUCGUGAAUUCAUCUCCGGGGGUAGAGCACUGUUUCGGCA
rnacentral:rRNA from 1 species